CCCCGGCACAGCACCCUGAGGAGGUGGAGCAGUUCAGCCCCUGCAGGAGGAUCCAGGACGGGACCGGACACAAGAACAGGACCGUGCCUGUGGCCGCUUCCGCAGGGCAGCACAGAGGGUGCGGAAAUCCAAGCCCGUUCGGCGUAGAAAGGCCAGGACCCUCACCAUCCAAGGUCACGGGCGCAGCCUGAGCCCAUCCCAACCGAGCUCAAGGCCAAGGCUGACAGU